rnacentral:rRNA from 1 species
AAUCAACGCUGGCGGCGUGCCUCAGACAUGCAAGUCGAACGAUUAAAGCUCUCUUCGGAGAGUGUAUAGAGUGGCGCACGGGUGAGUAACACGUAAGUAAUCUACCCUCGAGUGGGGAAUAACAACCGGAAACGGUUGCUAAUACCGCAUAAUGCAGCGGCACCGCAAGGUGACAGUUGUUAAAGAUUUAUCGCUUGAGGAGGAGCUUGCGGCAGAUUAGCUAGUUGGUAGGGUAACGGCUUACCAAGGCUACGAUCUGUAACCGGUCUAAGAGGACGGUCGGUCACACUGACACUGAAUAACGGGUCAGACUCCUACGGGAGGCAGCAGUCGGGAAUUUUGGGCAAUGGGCGAAAGCCUGACCCAGCAACGCCGCGUGAAGGAUGAAGUAUUUCGGUAUGUAAACUUCGAAAGAAUAAGGAAG